rnacentral:rRNA from 1 species
GACGAACGCUGGCGGCGUGCUUAACACAUGCAAGUCGAACGAAGUGGCGAACGGGUGAGUAACGCGUAAUCAACCUGCCCUUCAGCGGGGGACAACAGUUGGAAACGACUGCUAAUACCGCAUACUGAAGGAGGGGAUUGCGUCUGAUUAGCUAGUUGGAGGGGGAACGGCCCACCAAGGCGAUGAGCGGUAGGCGGGCUGAGAGGGUGGACGGGCACAAUGGGACUGGGGAACGGCCCAGACUUCUAAGGGAGGCAACAGUGGGGAAUCUUCCGCAAUGGACGAAAGUCCGACGGAGCAACGCCGCGUGGGGGAUGACGGGCUUCGGGUUGUAAAGCUCUGUUAAUCGGGACGCGGUACCGGAAUAGAAAGCCACGGCUAACUACGUGCCAGCAGCCGCGGUAAUUC